rnacentral:tRNA from 1 species
ACUUAAAUAGCUCAAGGUUAGAGCGUAACAUUGAAGAUGUUAAGGUAAUAUAAUUAUUUUUAAGUA